UGCAUGAAGUCGGAAUUGCUAGUAAUCGCAGAUCAGCAUGCUGCGGUGAAUACGUUCCCGGGCCUUGUACACACCGCCCGUCACACCAUGAGAGUUGGAGAUACCCGAAGCCUAUGAGCUAACUUUUAGAGGCAGUAGUCGAAGGUAGAAUCAAUGAUUGGGGUGAAGUCGUAACAAGGUACC
rnacentral:rRNA from 1 species